rnacentral:rRNA from 1 species
UAACGCGUGAGGAACCUGCCUCAAAGAGGGGGACAACAGUUGGAAACGACUGCUAAUACCGCAUAAGCCCACAGCUCGGCAUCGAGCAGAGGGAAAAGGAGUGAUCCGCUUUGAGAUGGCCUCGCGUCCGAUUGGCUAGUUGGUGAGGUAAUGGCCCACCAAGGCGACGAUCGGUAGCCGGACUGAGAGGUUGAACGGCCACAUUGGGACUGAGACACGGCCCAG